GAAACCGCUCUAGCCCUAUUUCACGAAAACUUUAAAAUCUCAUAAAAUACUGUUCAUAUGAUCGUUUCAUUACUUUCCUAUGAAAAUAGACUCAUCAAGGUUCAAUUACAUAAUUUAUUCACUAUUUAAUUCCAUUCCUACUAUUUUUAGUUAUUUUUUUCAAAUCCACACCACUGCUGCUGUCAGCAUCUGUUUUUAAGGUAAACUUUACCUAUUUCAUGGUUUUCC
rnacentral:lncRNA from 1 species